rnacentral:rRNA from 1 species
CGCUUUUUCUUUCACCGGAGCUUGCUCCACCGAAAGAAAAGGAGUGGCGAACGGGUGAGUAACACGUGGGUAACCUGCCCAUCAGAAGGGGAUAACACUUGGAAACAGGUGCUAAUACCGUAUAACAAUCGAAACCGCAUGGUUUUGAUUUGAAAGGCGCUUUCGGGUGUCGCUGAUGGAUGGACCCGCGGUGCAUUAGCUAGUUGGUGAGGUAACGGCUCACCAAGGCCACGAUGCAUAGCCGACCUGAGAGGGUGAUCGGCCACAUUGGGACUGAGACACGGCCCAAACUCCUACGGGAGGCAGCAGUAGGGAAUCUUCGGCAAUGGACGAAAGUCUGACCGAGCAACGCCGCGUGAGUGAAGAAGGUUUUCGGAUCGUAAAACUCUGUUGUUAGAGAAGAACAAGGAUGAGAGUAACUGUUCAUCCCUUGACGGUAUCUAACCAGAAAGCCACGGCUAACUACGUGCCAGCAGCCGCGGUAAUACGUAGGUGGCAAGCGUUGUCCGGAUUUAUUGGGCGUAAAGCGAGCGCAGGCGGUUUCUUAAGUCUGAUGUGAAAGCCCCCGGCUCAACCGGGGAGGGUCAUUGGAAACUGGGAGACUUGAGUGCAGAAGAGGAGAGUGGAAUUCCAUGUGUAGCGGUGAAAUGCGUAGAUAUAUGGAGGAACACCAGUGGCGAAGGCGACUCUCUGGUCUGUAACUGACGCUGAGGCUCGAAAGCGUGGGGAGCAAACAGGAUUAGAUACCCUGGUAGUCCACGCCGUAAACGAUGAGUGCUAAGUGUUGGAGGGUUUCCGCCCUUCAGUGCUGCAGCUAACGCAUUAAGCACUCCGCCUGGGGAGUACGACCGCAAGGUUGAAACUCAAAGGAAUUGACGGGGGCCCGCACAAGCGGUGGAGCAUGUGGUUUAAUUCGAAGCAACGCGAAGAACCUUACCAGGUCUUGACAUCCUUUGACCACUCUAGAGAUAGAGCUUCCCCUUCGGGGGCAAAGUGACAGGUGGUGCAUGGUUGUCGUCAGCUCGUGUCGUGAGAUGUUGGGUUAAGUCCCGCAACGAGCGCAACCCUUAU